GACGAACCGUGCGAACGUUAUUCGGAAUCAUUGGGCUUAAAGGGCGCGUAGGCGGCGGUGUAAGUCGGAAGUGAAAUCCCAUCGGCUCAACCGUGGAAUUGCUCCCAGUACUGCAUCGCUCGAGGGGGAUAGGGGUUUGCGGAACUACCGGUGGAGCGGUGAAAUGCGUUGAUAUCGGUGGGAACGCCAGUGGCGAAAGCGGCAAACUUGACCCUUCCUGACGCUGAGGCGCGAAAGCUAGGGGAGCAAACGGG
rnacentral:rRNA from 1 species